CACACCUGACUGAUCAUUGGUAAUUCUAUAAUUUGGUUUUUGCUUGUUUGUUUGCUUUUGGGUGUUUGUUUUGUAUCAAGGAUACAACCUAGAAUAAUUUAGGUGCUAAAACAAUGUUCAACAUCCAUAAUUCUUUUUUAUUAUUUAUUUUUUGAGAUAGGGCCUUGCUAAAUUGCUUAGAGCCUUGCUAAAUUGCUUAGGCUGGCUUUGAACUUGCAACCCUCCUGCCUCAGCUUCCUGAGCUGCUAUUACAAGCAACCACCAUCACACUGGACUGCAGUUCUAUAAUUUGGAUCUGGAAUAUUCACCAAAGCCCAUGUAUUGAAUGUUUAAUCACCAUCCCAUGGCACUGUAGGGUGGUAGAGGAACCUUCAGGAAAUAAUACCUAGUAAAAGGAAGUUAGAUGACAUGCUCUUGAAGAGGAUACUGUGACCCUGGCCCUUUUCUCUUUCUCUUCCAUACAAAUUGAAGUGAGUAUCAUUGCUCUCCACAUGAUCCCAUGUUGAUGCUCUGCCUUGCUCCACAGGCACAAAAACAAUAGAGCCAGCUGACCAUGAGCCAAAAGACAGUUUUUCUCUUUGUAGGUUGAUUUCUCUGAUAUGUGGUUAUAAUGAGGGAAAACUAAUUAACACAGGCAGUUUCCUCAAAUCUCCAAAAUUUUCAGCAAAAUAGUAAACAAAGCAACAUGUAGGACUGUGUCAGGUUAUGGAGUUACAGUUCUCAUCCCUGGUUACACAUGACAACAUGCAGGCCAAUAGCAUGGGCAAGAUGGUGCUGCCUAUGACUGAUCUGAUUGAGCUCAACUUAGGAAACCAAGAUGACCCACUUUUGGUUUAUCCAGAGACAGUGAGCAGGGUGAAUUUAGUGCUGAAAGGCAGAAUUCUACAAUUUGGAAUGAAGAACUAUUUAAGCAGGAUGAGGAAGUAUGCUGGAACUCAGAACCAGGCCAUUCCCACUGGGUGAUUCUAAGAUUUCCCCAGCAUAUCUAGGACUCCCAGCUGCAUAUCUAGGACUCUCAAGGUUCUUCUCCAGUCACAGGUGCCACAUAGAAGAUUCACAAGUGAGUAAGGUGUUCAACAAAUCUUGAGGACUUCAAAUGACUUCCAACAUUUCCCAUGCAAGAUGCUGAGGUGAACCAGCAGAUGAUGACAUUUUGAGGACUACAUUGACUUUUUUUCAGAUUGUGGUGAUCUACCACCUGAAGGUAUUAUAAGAGAAGAAGGUAUAAGGCCUCUGAAUGUCCAGCUCCUCCAGAAAAUUAUCAGGGAAGCUCAGCAAAGCCCUUCAAGUUCUGUACAGAUUUGUUGGUUCUUCUUAGGAAGAGUCUCCUCCCACAUUCUGUACACAAGUUGCCUAUGAGACCAGUUUGGGGCAUGCUCCAUUCCAGGUCAACCAUUUUGUUCUCAGAGUGUGUGGGUCCCUGAAAAGUGGCACCUCCACUCAGUAUCUGUGGGACCCAUGUUGUGCUGGAAGUUUGAGGAUAUGGUUAUCAAUCAUAAGGCAGGCCAUGAGGUAGAAUAGAGGCUAUGGAGGCACAGGCACCAAUUCAACUUGCAACCUCCCCUUGGUGGAUGAACAGGGCCUCCCAGCCUUGGGGAUGAUGGAGAACCCACUUUUUAGAGGAAGAAAUCCCUGUCCAUCCCAGAACCAAGUUGAGAGGAUGGGGUCCCAUCCAGGAAACUCACAUUCCCAUAGGUUCGUAAAUAAUGCAUUUCCAUCAAAACACACACACACACACACACACACAAUGCACCAUAUACUCAUUACAAAUACUUGCUGGGUUUAGUUUCAAACAGGUUCUUAUAAAGAUGCCAAAACCAGUCUUGAAUUAGAAAUCAUCCUGCUUCAAGGUACAGAGUAGCUGGGAUUCCACAAGUGCACCAUCAUGCCUGACUCCCCACUAAUCUUUCUUAUAAAUUAUUUUAUUAUAUACACAUGUGCCUAUUUCUUUUUAGGUGACAUUAUAAUUAUAUAUACUUAUAUAAUAUAAUGUCAUGUUUCCACACAUGUAUACAUUAUGUAAUGAUCAAAUGAGGAUAAUUAGCAUUCCAUCUACCUUAAACAUUAUCAUAUCUUUGUUGGAAAAAAAAAAACCUUAAAUCCUCUCUUGCAGCAUGUGUCUGACUUUAGGUUCUUUUCUCAUUUUACAUAUUAAUUUCUCUAUCUGUACAAAUACAUUAUGUUAGAGACUUCAAUUAAUGUAGAGCUUUCCCUACAUAACCCUCUUAUCCAUUGUACAUUUUUAUAAUGAAAAAACAGAAGAAUGAAACUGAAUGCCUUACUAACACUAAAUUUGCCUUUCAUAGAUUUCAUUUUCAUAUGUACCUUUCAUAAACAGGGUUUCUCAUUUCAGAACUUUGACAUUAAUGCUUAUGUCUCUAAUGUCCUCGUGAAUCAGGCAAUGUACCCAGCACUGCUCCAGCCUCAAAAUUCCAGUGAAUUUUAACAGAUGACAUGGCUUCUUUUACUUUCCUUCUUUCUAGCUCCUUCCCCACCAACAGCCAGAGGUGGCAGGAAUCUGGAGACUCAUCCCUGGGUGCCUCCUGCGCAAGUGCAGAUGCCCCAGUGGAAGAAGUCCUCCUCCCUCCUCCUCCACACCACGCCCACCCAGGGCGGUGCCACAGCCAAUGCAGCUGAGCUCAGAGCCUCACUGUGGGGUCUGCAGGGGCAAGGACAGCUGCUCCCUGCCCUCCCUUAGUGGUUGGUUGCGGAAUGCAGUUCUUUUGUAUGAGAACGCAUUUUCUCCAGUCAUUCUGCUUGCUGACCAACAACUUGUUACCGCUGCUGGCAGGCCUGUCCUAUCACAUGAACUUCCACCAUUGUGAUGUCACCACCCUGAAAUCCUCACCAGAGGAAGAACAGAUGGGGCUACCUGAUCUUGAGUUUUCAGCCACCGAUAUUGUUCUUCAGGAAAUGAGGGUCAGGAAAAGCAUCAAGACUACAGAAAGAAGAGAAGCACUACCCAAGAAGUAAUGAUGUCUAAAGGUGCAGUGUGAUCAAGCAACUCACUGGUCUGUCUCCAUCUCCACCAAGGUCGGUGAUUACCAACAUGCACAGAAAUGCCAUGUUUCCCUUGCAUUGAAAAUGAAGAAUUUAAUAUCCAUAUUGCCAGGUUGAGAAUGCCACGUUACUUACAAGCUGUCUUCAUAUGUGAUUAUUUUGUGAAUCAUCUAUCCCUUUGUUCAACUAUUCCAUUGGACUGCAAAACACAGAGUACAUGUGCAGUUCAUCAUGAUCCAUGUGUGAGUUCCCAUUGUCAUGUGGUUUAGGUAGUACAGGAAGCUGCUUGGCCAGAAUUGAAGUCCCAUGGGAUAUCCAAAACUCUGACAUAAAUUCCUUUCUAAGGCACCUACAGUGGUCUCAGCAUCCACAUGAGUGACAUAUUUAUUAUUUGUCUCUUCCAGACAGCAAAGCUAUUGACAUAGUCUCCUUGUUCUCAUAAUAGGAAACUUUAAUAGUUCAUUCACUUUGUAGCCAUUUUCCUGAAAAGGUGGCUUGGCCAUUAGCAAAAGUUCUCAUGAACAGUGGUUUCAAAGAGUGUGACCUGUAUGAGCAAAAUAUCUCAGUCAAAAGAUGGGUACCUUCUGGCUGGAUGGUAGUUGCAGUCUCUAUUCAGUUGUUUCCUAGAGCUGUCAGUAAACCAUUCCAUACUAUCUAGAUAUGACUCAGUUCUGGGCUCUAGGUAUUCACAUGAGGAAUCAAAGCUUCUUUAAAUCUCUUCUGGGAGGAUACCUGUUUGUUAAUGGAGUCUACCAGUCCCUUGAGGUUCUAGCAGGACCCAAUGUUGAAUAUACCAUUUCCAGUGAACUCUGUUGAAGUUGUCCAGAUUUAUUGAUGGGAUUUGUGAAUACACAUGUGAGAAUGAGCAUUUGAGGUUGCAGAGUUGCAUGAGGUGUUCUAUCCAUGAGAAAUUCAGUCCUCUUCAGUUCCUAAGAGCAAGCAAAGAAUUGCUAUUCAAAAGAAAUAUAUCUGGAAGCUGCCUUAGGCAAUUUAGAUGUCCAAGAUCUGAGACACUGGUGUACCUGGUGUCAGUUUUCAUCACCAUAGCCUUCAAUCAGAAUGCAUGGAGGUUGUAAACAGCUGAAAUUUCAUCAGGCUAUCAUGCUUCAAAGAUUUUAAAGUCAGUGUCUAAGUCACUACUUGUUGAACAGCUUCCAAAUUUUAGUGCUGUAAGGGAUUCAUUCAUUGUCAGUGGCUUUCUUGAUUAUCUUGGCAAUAGGGAACAAAGGAACCCCAAGUGGGGUAUAUACUAUCUUCAGGACCCAAAGAGUGUUACCAUCCAUCUGGCCUCCUUUUUAUUAGUGAGUGCCAAAAGGGCUUUUUUAAGUUAGUUGUAGUGAUACCUGCCUAUGGUUCCAGCUACUUGGGAGUUGAGGCGGAAGAAUCACUUGAGCCCAGGAGCUCAAGGACAGCCUGGUCAAUAUAAAUAUAGUGAGACCCUGUCUCAGUUUUGUUUGUUUGUUUGUUUGUUGUAGCUUAGGAUAUAUUUGGCUUCUUGUCCAAUAGCUUUGGCACUCAUGACUUCCAAGCACUAGAGGCCUCUUUGACCAGCUAAGCUGGACAGUUACAUAACAACAUGGUGUGUAGUAACAUUUUUAUCUGUACCAAAGUAGACUUGAAUAACAAAAUAUCGCCAGCCCUCUGUAUCCACAGAUUCUGUGUUGGUGGAUUCAAUGAAUCAUAGGUCAAAAAUAUUUGAAAAAAAAUAUUGUAUCUGUAUUGCACAUGUGAACACAUUUUUGGCACUAUUCCCUAAAUAAUACAUAACAUUUAUAUUGUAUUAGGAAUUAUAAAUAAUUAUGUGCAUGUAUGUUUUGUGUAUGUAUGUUGGUCAGAUUUUCAUCAUUGUGACCAAAAUAACAGACAUAAAUAACUUAAAAGAGGAAAGAUUUAUUUAGGAUCAUAGUUGAAGAAAUUUCAGUUCAUGGUUGGCCAGGUCCAUUGCUUUGAUCCUACAGCAAGGCAACACAUUUUGGUGGAAAGAUAUGGCAGAGGAAAUCUCUUUAACUUGUGGCAGCCAGGAAGUAGAGAAAGAGAUGAGGGGGGCAAGGAUAAGAUAUAUAUAGUCUUCAAGGGCAAGACCUCAGUGACCUACUUCUUCUAACCAUGACACUUCACCUGCUUAAAGUUUCCAAUAAAUCCAUUUAGAUUAUUGAUCCACCAAAUGGGCUAAUCCACUGAUGAGGUUAGAGCUCUCAUGAUCACAUUAUUUCCUAAAAGCCCCACCUCUGGACAUUUCUGCAUUGGGAGCCAAGCUUUGUGGGGACAUUCCAUAUCCAAACCAUAACAGUCUGUUACAUGCAAAUACUAUAUCCUCUAUAUUAGGCUUCAGAAUCUUCAGAAUUUUAUAUCCAUAGAGUAUCCUGGAACCAAGUAAUGAAUGUAAUGUCUUUAUUUCCAUUUAGUAUGCAAUAUACCUCUCUUUUUGGUAUAAUUGGGAAGGAGUUGAAUAGUUUAGGUGGCCAGCAGGAAUGAAAAUGCUCCUCUGUUAUAGCUUAAUACCUAGCUAUCAGGGUGUAUACCCUUAGUGGCAAUGUUCUGUAUACAAAACAAUAGCCAAAAUACCAAUGCCUAUAUUGCACUUCACGGUUAGAACCCUACUCACCAGCACCUGAAGUGGUCAAAGGGGCCCAUCUACAAGCAGAUAAGCACUAUUUGCAGGUAAAUCUCAGGAUUUACCAGGUUUGUCCCAAAACCUUUUGAUCUCAUUAGUUUAAUUUUUUAUCUAAGGGAACCACAAAACAUGGUCAUGUAAAUCUAGAAUUCAGGAACCUAACCCAAGUCUAUACUGGCCUCAUUUUUGUAAGAUACAGGGUCUUGUUAUGUUGCUCAGUCUUGCCCCAAACUCCUCAAAUCAAUCUAUCCUCCUGUCUCAGUCUCCUGAGAAAAUAGAACUGCAGGCAGAAGGUACCCUGCCUGGUUCCUCUCUUAUCUUGACAGGAAUACAAGGUCAUUGGCCUCCAGUGGGAAAUAAAGACCUUGGCUUCAUUCUUACCUGUACCAUUUAUCCAUAGACUCAUAGUUCUCCAGCGUCCCUUUGUCAGACAGACAUAGCAGUCAGGCCUUCUUCCAAAUCUGUACUUUUCAUAGUGAGUUUCCCCAUCUGUGAUGGUCAACAGGGCACAUGUUCAUUCCUUCUCAUGCCUCAGGAAUACCCACUUAGCAAGCUUUCAGGAUCUAUUAAUGAAUGAUCACAUAAGUGCUCAACAACCAGAUAAUGGUACCUUAUUUCCACAUUUCUUUCUUUCUGCCUUGGUCCAUGGAUCCAGCUCAUUUACAUCAUUAGGGGGCAAGGUAACACAUCCUUCUUGUCCAGCCAUCCAGCCUUAUAACUCAGAUAGUUGGAUGUUCAUAUCCUAUGUUCCUAUAGGGUCUCCACCUAAGGCUGGGGAUUGGAGUUUCCUUCCCACAUUAACGAAAGCCAUUGUUCUGUCAUACCAAACCCUUCUCACAGCACCAAUAUUGUGAAUCAGGUUCACUAAUAACCAGUCUCAAUAAAUGACUUUGAACCUAUGGAAGACAGCAGAGCUCAUCACUGUGCCAACCAGUAGGAACAGGAGUCCAAAUAAUUUUGCCCACUGCAUCCUCGGUUGCAGUUUUACUAAUUACCUGAGUCUAGUGAGACAGAAAACACUAGUACAUAAUGAUUUAAGUGAAGCAGAUGUAAUACUUAAAGAUAGGCGACAAGAGAGAAAAAUAAGAUAAAGAUAAAAAAAGAUAAAGAAAGCUGGGGAAAUACUGGGUAAUGAUAUUGGUCAAAUUAUAUUGUUAUUUUGUGUUCAUGUAUGAAUAAGUAACAACAAAUCUAAUUAUUAUGUACAAAUAUAUGCAACAAUAAAAUAUGGAAAAAAUGUUUUAAAAGCCUGGGUUCCAUCAUGAGAUAGUUCUUGAAAUCUCCAUCCAUCCAAACAUUGCACAGAGUAGAUGGAGUAUCGUUAUGAGAUGUAAGGUGUCCUCUAAGAGCUCAUGUGUGAGUCAAUAUAAGAAAGUUCCAAGUAGAAAUGACUGGGUUAUGAGAACUGUAACCCAAUCAGUGUAUCAACCAGUCAGUGUAUCAAUGGAAUUAACUAAGUGGUAACCAAAGGCAGGUAGAGUAUGCCUGGAGGAGGGGGUCAUUGUGGCAAAAAUUUUGUAUCUGGUGAGUAGAGAUUCUGUAACAUUCCUGAUCAUCAUGUGAACAGCUUCCCUCUGCCACACUCUUUAUACAUAAUGUUCUGCAGCAUCUCAAGUCCUGAGUAAUGGAGGCAGCCUUCUAUGGAAUGAGAAUUCUGAAACCUUGAGCCCCAAACUAAACUUUUCCUCCUCUGAAAUUGUUCUUGUCAAGUCUUUAGUCACAGCAGUGAAAACACUAAAAUGAGUAUUGACUGCAGGUACCCCAAUUCACUAAACCUGAGGGACCCCAAAAGCCAACAAAUGUUUUGUUAUAUACCUCAGGGAUAACAUGACUCACUGGGAAGCUUUGAAGAAUAUACUGCCCCAAAGGAAAAAGGAACAAAGUCAAGGCUAUUCCUGGCAGUUUCUCCCCAUGGUACUGGGUUCCUAUAGUUAUUCUUGAGAUCUACUAGUGAAAAACAGGAGAAGUUCGUCAUUCUAGGCCACCCAUAGAACUUUCCUGCAUCAUUUCCCCAAGAAGUUCUAGGUGUUUCUUUGAAGUAAUUCUUCCCCCACACUGAGGCUUGGUAGUUACUGAUAUGAUCAAGAUAGCUUGGCAGUUACUGAUUACUCCUAUCUCAAUAGCACUGACUUUUCUAGAAUGUCAAAAUGAACUCAUUCUAUAUGAAAUGUUUUGGGUCUGCUUUUCCCUCUCCCAGAAUCAUGUUUUUGAGAUUCAUUCAUGUUGUUUCAUGUAUCAGUCAUUUAUUCCUUUGUAAUGUUGAGUUGUAUUCUAUAGAAUGAAUGUGUAAUAAUUUUCUCAUUUUUUUACCACUUCAUAAAUAC